GACGAACGCUGGCGGCGUGCUUAACACAUGCAAGUCGAACGGAAAGGCCUGCUUUCCCUUGUGGAUUGCGGGUACUCGAGUGGCGAACGGGUGAGUAACACGUGAGUGAUCUGCCCCCAACUUGGGUAUAAGCCUGGGAAACUGGGUCUAAUUCCCGAUAGGACUGCAGGGUGGUGCCUGUGGUGGAAAACGAUUUUCUAGUGGUUGGGGAUGAGCUCGCGGCCUAUCAGCUUGUUGGUGGGGUAAUGGCCUACCAAGGCGGCGACGGGUAGCCUGCCUGGGAGGGUGGACGGCAACAUUGGGACUGGGAUACGGCCCAGACCCCUACGGGAGGCAGCAGUGGGGAAUAUUGCACAAUGGGCGGAAGCCUGAUGCAGCGACGCCGCGUGGGGGAUGACGGCCUUCGGGUUGUAAACUCCUUUCGACCGCGAGGAAGCCACCUGGUUGGAAGGGUGGUGACGGUAGUGGUAGAAGAAGCACCGGCUAACUACGUG
rnacentral:rRNA from 1 species